rnacentral:rRNA from 1 species
UUGCGCAUGGCCGAANGCUGNCGCAGCGACGCCGCGUGUGGGAGGAAGCUCUUCGGGGUGUAAACCACUGUUGCCCGGGACGAACGAUGAGUUUUUACUCAUGUGACGGUACCGGGUGAGGAAGCACCGGCUAACUCUGUGCCAGCAGCCGCGGUAAUACAGAGGGUGCGAGCGUUGUCCGGAAUCACUGGGCGUAAAGGGCGCGUAGGCGGCUUGGUAAGGUUGCGGUGAAAGCCCGGGGCUCAACCCCGGGUCGGCCGUGGCAACUGCUGAGCUGGAGCACUGUAGAGGCAGGUGGAAUUCCGGGUGUAGCGGUGGAAUGCGUAGAGAUCCGGAAGAACACCGGUGGCGAAGGCGGCCUGCUGGGCAGUAGCUGACGCUGAGGCGCGACAGCGUGGGGAGCAAACAGGAUUAGAUACCCUGGUAGUCCACGCCGUAAACGAUGGGCACUAGAUGCUUGGGGGAGCGACCCUCCGAGUGUCGGCGCUAACGCAUUAAGUGCCCCGCCUGGGGAGUACGGCCGCAAGGCUGAAACUCAAAGAAAUUGACGGA